GUUGGCGACAAAGCGGAGUGGCAUGGUUUCGGUUUCGGUCGAACAGCCGUUGUCUCUGCUCAUGCGACGAAGCACGUCUAGGUGCAAGCCUGCCGAAGUUGCCCUCACGUGCAUGUGAACAUGAUUGCACGAGAGGCACCAUCCAGGACGCUUGCAAUCUAAUGUCUUGCGUUUGCUUACUUUUUAUGAAGAUCUGCCACGUUGAAAACCAGUAAAACGAAAGCAAGUGUUUUUUUUGUUUUUUUUUUCAGAAUUGCUUGGCAACGCUUACAGCACUGUAUACUUGUGGGAUGUCUCAGCAGCAAAAACACAAGCAGCGAAUUCCGCCCAAACACGUCGCAUCACAACACAACACAAAGUGCCCUUCGUUUGUCCAGCAUUUAAAACAAAUAUUUAUUUUUCUAAGAAUGUGUGCUCCAAAAGUCACUUUUUCUGCUCCGAAACACUGUUUUCGCUGCUCCAAAAGCCACUUUUGCUGCUCCAAAACACACUAUCUUGGCCGCUCCAAAGGCCACAUUUGCUGCUCCAAAACACUGUUUUGGAGCAGCAAACACCUAAGUGCAAGACCUAAGCACAAACUUAGUGGGACUUGAAUGUGCCUAUUAUCAUUGCUGCAUUUGAAAUCAGAAUGGCAGUGCCCUUAUAUCUGUCCUUUCAGUAAAUUUUACAUGAUAUAGUUCCUUAAGCAUCUGUCCCUUUGCAACAUGUCAGGAUUACAAAAUUGUCAAAUGAUUUUUAAUAAUUUUAACGACCACAUUUUUUUUUCAAAGUUCAGUUUACACUUUAGGGACAGCGACCAUCCAGUGGUAGUUUUCAGCACUUUAGAGACGUCUGGAGGCAAGUUGGCUCACCAGAUAGCAAAAUUCGUUGUCAUAGCACCGUUCAAGACCAAUUAUUGGCUACAAUUGGAGGACGACGACCAUUCCGAGGUAGUUUUCAUCAUUUCAGAGACGUCUGGAGGCAGGUUGGCUCACCGGAAAGGGAACUUUGUUGUCAUAGCACCAUCUAAGAUCAAUUAUUGUCUACAAUUGAAGGACGACGACCAUUCCGAGGUAGUUUUCAUCAUUUCAGAGACAUCUGGAGGCAGGUUGGCUCACCGGAAAGGAAACUUCGUUGUCAUAGCACCGUCUAAGACCAAUUAUUGGCUACAAUAAGAGGACUACGACCAUUCCGAGGUAGUUUUCAUCAUUGCAGAGAUGUCUGGAGGCAAGUUGGCUCACCAGAAAGGAAACUUUGUUGUCAUAGCACCAUUCAAGACCAAUUAUUGACUUCAAUCGGAGGCCGAUGACUAUCCCGGGGUAGUUCUCAGUAUGUUGGAGCCAUCUGGAGGCAAGUGUGGUCACAAAAUAGAGAACUCGAAUAUAAUAGCACCAUUCAAGACCAAUGAUUGACUAUGAUAUGGGGACGAUGACAAUACUCUGAUUAUCUUCAGCAUUUGAGUUUCCUCUGGAGAUCCCUCAUUGCCUUGCAGAAGUGUCUCAACACCUCUCGCGGAUGUGUCUCAACGUCAUUCUCAGUCGUCGAAAUGGAUGGGCAUUGGCUCCUUUAUGACUGCCACUCGUGCAUUCUUCAUAGAACUUCUGUAUCCAUUCAAACGCAUUUCUUUGCGAGAAAACAUUUACAUUUCCAUAAUACUGUGCACAAAGUUUUUUUUAUGGAUAUCGGUAUAUUCAUAUAUAUGGAAUUACUGGACACCCCUUCAUAUCACGAGAACGAUGACUGAUUCACUUGUACAAAUUAAGCAUGGGACAGCCAUUCUUCCUAGCACCUCAGUCCCAACUGAACUGAUUUAACAGAUUCAAGCCUGCACAGCAGUGACUGGAGAUACAGCAACCUUGUAUGAAAAGUGCCGAUAAGACAGUGCAGCCAACAGAAGGUUGCAUCUCUGCUCCCACGGUCCUGCUCGACAGUGGCUAAGACGUGCAACACAGUUGCGCCCAACUUCCCUCUAUGCUACAAGCACCCCAGGAGCUACUAUCGCCCGAAGAUGUCACAGGUGGUCAUGAUUCUUUGAGGCAGCGGAAUUUCACCGCAGUGCAUCUUUAACACCUUCAGUUUCUUUUCUACUGCAAGCCUGGUACUACAGCUUGUGGCCCGUGUAGAAGAAUAGAGGGGUGAAACCAAGGCUCAAGUGACUGUGGACUCAUGGCCCUCAGACAGCUAGAGCACCAGACCAGGCACAGACCAGAGCCAUUUAUGCUCCACUUCUAGAGGACAUGUUGCAGUUUGAAACUACCAAGACUCAUGGAAGCUGCUGACAGGAGGCUGUUGAAGCCGUGGUCGCAAGGCACCCAUGACAUUGAAGUCUUCCAAACAAGGCACUAUGAAGGCAUGACUUGUAGCGGCACUGGAGCAAGCGACACGGUCCGGGUGAGCCGCAAGUGUAACUGUUACACUGUAAACAGGAAAUAUAGACAUGUGUCCGACAAAGCACAGACUCAUAAAACUUUCGUGUAGCAAUAAUAGUUUAAUUUAACUAAACAGUGCAUCAACAGAGCCUGACCCAAGAAUGGGGAAUUGGGGAACCGGCCAAUGUGUAGAGUCUAACAGAAACAAGGAAGGCGAUAAAAACAAAUGGGGCAACAUGUUAAGAUAGGACAAUAAUGUCGUGCCUAUUUUUUGUUUUCAAUUAAGAUUUUAUAGGAGCUAGCAAAAUAUGUCCUUGCAAUGGAAUAGACCUACUUUUACAAAAAGACCUUCAAUGUUUUUGUUAAAAUAAAUUGCGUCUGAGGAGGUGGAAAUAUGAUUUUCCCAAUUGCGCAUUAACAUAUCUUCGAGCUCCACAGGGUAAUAAAACUUCCCGAAACGUAAAUAUUUUUAUGCAUGCUCAGAAGUUUUUUUAAAUAUAGAAAAAGUCAAACAAUUUUUUUGUGAGAAUUCAAAGAUAUUGUCAUCCUCAAUUUUUUUUUUUCAUUUUCGUUAUUGAACACUUAGAAACAUGUAAUUCAGAAUCCACCACCAAGACCUGUUGUAUUCUAUUGUCUUAAAAUAAAGAAAUAACGGUUUUGCCGA